rnacentral:rRNA from 1 species
AUUGAACGCUGGCGGCAUGCCUUACACAUGCAAGUCGAACGCGAAAGGGGGCGAACCCCGAGUAGAGUGGCGAACGGGUGAGUAAUGCAUCGAACGCGUCCUGUAGUGGGGGACAACCCGAGAAAUCGGGGCUAAUACCGCAUACGAUCUGCGGAUGAAAGUGGGGACCGCAAGGCCUCACGCUAUAGGAGCGGCCGAUGCCGGAUUAGCUAGUUGGUGGGGUAAAGCCCACCAAGGCGACGAUCCGUAGCUGGUCUGAGAGGACGACCAGCCACACUGGGACUGAGACACGGCCCAGACUCCUACGGAAGGCAGCAGUGGGGAAUUUUGGACAAUGGCGCAAGCCUGAUCCAGCCAUGCCG